rnacentral:rRNA from 1 species
UACAGGGGGGGCAAGCGUUGUUCGGAAUUACUGGGCGUAAAGCGCACGCAGGCGGUUCGCCAAGUUUGGAGUGACAGUUGUCGGCUCAACCGACAAAGGACUUCAAAAACUGGUGAACUUGAGGACGAGAGAGGAACAUGGAACUCCAGGUGUAGUAGUGAAAUGCGUAGAUAUCUGGAAGAACACCAAUGGCGAAGGCAAUGUUCUGGCUCGUUUCUGAUGCUCAGGUGCGAAAGCCAGGGGAGCGAACGGG